GAUGAACGCUGGCGGCGUGCCUAAUACAUGCAAGUCGAGCGAACGAACGAGAAGCUUGCUUCUCUGAUGUUAGCGGCGGACGGGUGAGUAACACGUGGAUAACCUACCUAUAAGACUGGGAUAACUUCGGAAAACCGGAGCUAAUACCGGAUAAUAUUUUGAACCGCAUGGUUCAAAAGUGAAAGACGGUCUUGCUGUCACUUAUAGAUGGAUCCGCGCUGCAUUAGCUAGUUGGUAAGGUAACGGCUUACCAAGGCAACGAUGCAUAGCCGACCUGAGAGGGUGAUCGGCCACACUGGAACUGAGACACGGUCCAGACUCCUACGGGAGGCAGCAGUAGGGAAUCUUCCGCAAUGGGCGAAAGCCUGACGGAGCAACGCCGCGUGAGUGAUGAAGGUCUUCGGAUCGUAAAACUCUGUUAUUAGGGAAGAACAUAUGUGUAAGUAACUGUGCACAUCUUGACGGUACCUAAUCAGAAAGCCACGGCUAACUACGUG
rnacentral:rRNA from 1 species